GGAUGAUGUGUGGUUGAGGGGUAGCUGGAGGAGGCUAACGGGGCACGACUGCCCUGCCACAACCUCGGGAUGUGGUCCCUGAGGGAAGGGGUUGAAGCUGAAUUUGCUGUGGGAACCAGGGUUGGAAUUGAGGUGACUGCUGCCUAGCUCUGGUUUUGCUUGGGAUUUGCUGGAGCACUGUAAAGGUUUACUGCCAGGAUUAUCAGGAAAUACCUGCUUUGGAGGUCGUCAGCAGGACGUCUUCAGGAACCAUGAAGAAAUUGUGAUUAUAACAAGGAGUAAAAGCUGGGAAAAACGUUUUUCUAGUUGAGUCUCAGGAAAUGGGUGGCACUGCUGUUGUCCUUUGUCUUGUUUUGCAAUUAAUGCAAGAGGUAAAAGCAUCUGUUGGGAACUGCAUUCCCAGGAAAACAGUAAAAUACCAAACUCUAAAUGCAGAAAUGUUUGUGAAGGAAGGCUUGUCCAAUGUCUCUGCUCUCCUUGUGGAUGAAGAAACUGAUAGGCUGUUUGUUGGAGGCAGGGAUGUAAUAUCUGCCCUUGAUUUGAAUAACAUUUCCAGAGAAACUGCCAGGGAACACUGGUUUGCUACGCAGG